rnacentral:rRNA from 1 species
UUAAAGGAAUUGACGGAAGGGCACCACCAGCAGUGGAGCCUGCGGCUUAAUUUGACUCAACGCGGGGUAUCCUACUAGGCCCGGACACUCGAAGGAUUGACAGAUUGAGAGCUCUUUCUUGAUUGGGUGCGUGGUGGUGCAUGGCCGUUCUUCGUUGGUGGGGCGACUUGUCUGCUUAAUUGCGAUAACGAACGAGACUCUAGCCUGCUAACUAGUCGAUACCGGCAUCCUAUGUGCAGCCGGCGACACUAUGUCUUCUUAGAGGGACCGGUGGUGUAUAGCCACACGACAUUGAGCAAUAACAGGUCUGUAAUGCCCUUAGAUGUCCUGGGCCGCACGCGCGCUACACUGAAGGGAUCAGCGUGUCUUUUCCUAGUCCGAGAGGACCGGGUAACCCGUUGAAUCUCCUUCGUGCUAGGGAUUGGGGCUUGCAAUUAUUCCCCACGAACGAGGAAUUCCUAGUAAGCGCGAGUCAUAACCUCGCGUUGAUUAUGUCCCUGCCCUUUGUCCACACCGCCCGUCGCUACUACCGAUUGAAUGAUUUAGUGAGGUCUUCGGACCAGUGCGCGGUUUUCGAAGUUUUUUAACUUCGGAAACUGAUUGCUACCGGAAAGAUGACCGAACUUGAUCAUUUAGAGGAAGUAAAAGUCGUAACAAGGUUAUC